rnacentral:lncRNA from 1 species
UCAGAUACUCAUUUAUUACUCCAUUCCCUUCACUUAGGAAACUCAGGACCACAGCUAAGGUAUUCCUUAGGGGGUAUUUAAAGAGGACUGCUUAGAUCAGUGGUUCCUCACCUUUUGUUCCACAGCAGUUCCUGAAAUUGGAUGGGUGCAUCUUUAAAGUGCAGUUGCAGGGCCUGUGCCUUUUUUAUUGAGGUGGAGCAAUUAUUGUGACCCUGUUCUGCUCAGUAAGACAUAAAGAAAAUAUGCUGGGUGGCUUUCUCCCUGAGAGAGGAGCACAGAAAUAGAAAUAUUAUUAGAAACAGAAUUAGAAAUAGAUAGAGGUCCACUUCAUGACUGCUCAACUGGACUUUUUAGGGUCUCAAUUUCUACUUGUGUAAGCUCAGAUUGCUCAGUGGGCCAAUUAGUGAAUCCCAGAGAAGGGACUAGAGAACAGACCUCGUUUGGAAAUACUCUAUUAUCGUAUUUCAAAUGUGGGCCAUGGACUAGCAACAUCAGCACCAUCUAGGAGAUAAUUAGAAAUGCAGAAUCUCAGGCCCCAACCAGAUCUGUGAAAUCAACAAUGUUCCCAAGUGAUCGCUAUGCACAUUCAAAUUUAAGAAGUGGUGGUCUCUAAGAGGCAGAAUAUAUUUUUUCUCAAACUACUUUUCAGUUCCCCUGUUUUCCUUCUGCUGUCAUGGAAGAUGAGCUUGCCACAAAGGGAAGCUAUGAAGAAUCUAGCACAUUCUUCCCUUGGAAAUUCAAACACCCAUUUCCACACUGCAGUGGAAGUGUUGUGACAUGUUCUAUUGGAAAACCACUACCUACAUGCCAUCAUAUGGAGCCAUAAACUAUUUUUAGGUUUUCUGGACAGGCCAAAGAUUCUGCUGCCCAAAUGAUUCCAAAGAACGUGAGGCUGAUGUGUCUCAGAUUUUCUUGUAAUUCUUGCAUUUCUAAAAAUAUCUUGGGUGUUUGAUGUUGAGUUCAGCCCUGUUUUACUAACAAGCGAAGCCUUUGUAUUUACUGUCUCAUUUGGUAGGUUAUUUUCUCCCUUUUUAUUUCCAGUGACAUGUCAUGUUUCCUGAUACUGAUUUAUCAGAGAAGUAGAACAAGAAAUUGAUUCAACAUGCAUAAUAUUUUAUUGAAUGACCAUCUCCAUGUAAAAUUUUUCUUGGAGUUUGAAGUGGGGAAGAAUGUUGGAUAUAGACCUGGAAAAGAGAAGGCUGGGUUCUGAAAGGCUGAUGGAGAGUCAAUUUAUUCGCAAGAAAGAAAUCACACGAUUCAAGUGACCCAAGAUGUCAGUGUGAAAUUAAAUUCCACCAGAGAACUGAUGAUACUGAGAUUGACCCUUGCUUGAAACAAAUAAGAUGAACCAUGAAGUGAACCUCAUUCCAAACAUGGCAUCAACAAACAUAAAUGAAGACCUAAAAAGUGACUUGUUUUGGGUGCCAGAUUUUUCAACCUCAAAACUGAAGUGGUUGUGAAGCCAAUUUCAAAAUGACAGGCAUAACCCAACCUUUAGGGUUUAUUGGAAACUUGAUUAUGUUCUUAAGGCCUCUCAGAUUUUUGGCAUGGUUUAAACAUUUGCCUCUCUGUCCUACAUAUGAUAAAUCUGUGGCUUUUGGCUAAAGUCUGGCCUGUGGAACUUUACCCAUGUGUGAAUCUCAAGCUUUCAAACAUGUUGCAUUCUUCUAAAUAAACAUUGGGCCACUAGGCAUCUGCUGUUAAUGUAGA